rnacentral:snRNA from 13 species
AAUUUUAUCUGGCACCGGGACCAGGAUAAUCAAGAACGCCCUGGCCCCAGGUGGAAGCUUGCUUUUGCAUUCUGGAGGGUUGAAGCCUGCCACGAUCCCUGAUCGGACUCGCUCGGGCGCGUAGUUUUGCCAGUGAGGAGGUCUUCAGACCAUUCCUUU